rnacentral:rRNA from 1 species
UACAGAGGUCUCAACCGUUGUUCGGAUUCAUUGGGCGUAAAGGGUGCGUAGGCGGUCGCGUAAGUCAGGUGUGAAAUCCCGGGGCUCAACCCCGGAACUGCACUUGAUACUGCGUGGCUAGGGUACUGGGGAGGAGACUGGAAUUUACGGUGUAGCAGUGAAAUGCGUAGAUAUCGUAAGGAAGACCAGUGGCGAAGGCGAGUCUCUGGACAGUUACCGACGCUGAGGCACGAAGGCCAGGGGAGCAAACGGG